UUAGUAGCGGCGAGCGAACAGGGAAAAGCCCAGCACCGAAUCCCGCGGCCUAACCGGACGCCGGGAAAUGUGGUGUUUAGAAGGAUCCGUUAUCUCGACGAGCGACGCCUGUCCAAGUCCAUCUUGAACGGGGCCAUAACCCAUAGAGGGUGCCAGGCCCGUAUGACGGUGUUGCUUAUCGAGAGGAUCUCUUCUGAGAGUCGGGUUGCUUGAGAGUGCAGCCCUAAGUGGGUGGUAAACUCCAUCUAAGGCUAAAUAUGACCACGAGACCGAUAGCGAACAAGUACCGUGAGGGAAAGUUGAAAAGAACUUUGAAGAGAGAGUUCAAUAGUACGUGAAACCGUUCAGGGGUAAACCUGAGAAACCCGAAAGGUCGAAAAGAGAGAUUCAUUCGCUGCUCGGACGUGUUAAUAGUCGCCGGGAUGACGGAACGCUUCUCGGAGCGAUUCGCCUCGUCGCGCUUAAGCACCGUCGAGCCGCGUGCACUUCUCUCUUAGUAGGACGUCGCGAUCCGUUGGGUGCCGGUCGAAGGCCCGCGAGGAAGCCCGCAAGCACGAUGCAAAUCGGCGUUUGCGGACCUGCGGUUGCCUGGCCGGCCGCCCGACGGUAUACAGAUGGCGUGAGGCCGCGAAUUUUCGCGCUCGACCUGCGGCAAGCACGCUUUACGCGCUGGCUUUCGGAAUUACCGCCGAUGCUGGCCUCUAGCGGCUGUUCGCCGUAGAUGUUCUCGGGCAGACCUCUCUAGCCGAUCGGCGACGCUACAGCUUUGGGUACUCUCAGGGCCCGUCUUGAAACACGGACCAAGGAGUCCAGCGUGUGCGCGAGUCAUUGGGUGAAAUUAAACCUAAAGGCGAAAUGAAAGUAAAGAUCCUUCGGGAUCGAGGGAGGAUGGCUGGUAAUGUCUCCGGCUCGCACUCCCGGGGCGUCUUAAUCUCUUUUAGAGAUGAGGCGCACCAUGAGCGUACGCGCUGGGACCCGAAAGAUGGUGAACUAUGCCCGGUCAGGACGAAGUCAGGGGAAACCCUGAUGGAGGUCCGUAGCGGUUCUGACGUGCAAAUCGAUCGUCUGAACUGGGUAUAGGGGCGAAAGACUAAUCGAACCAUCUAGUAGCUGGUUCCCUCCGAAGUUUCCCUCAGGAUAGCUGGCGCUCGAUGCGUACGAUUCUCAUCCGGUAAAGCGAAUGAUUAGAGGCAUUGGGGUCGAAACGACCUCAACCUAUUCUCAAACUUUAAAUGGGUGAGAACUCCGGCUUGCUCGAAAGUGAAGCCGCGAGAUCACGGAUCAGAGUGCCAAGUGGGCCAUUUUUGGUAAGCAGAACUGGCGCUGUGGGAUGAACCAAACGCCGAGUUAAAGCGCCUAAAUCGACGCUUAUGGGACACCAUGAAAGGCGUUGGUAACUUAAGACAGCAGGACGGUGGCCAUGGAAGUCGGAAUCCGCUAAGGAGUGUGUAACAACUCACCUGCCGAAGUUACUAGCCCUGAAAAUGGAUGGCGCUAAAGCGUCGUGCUUAUACUCGGCCGUCAGCGGCAUGUGCGGUUGCUUCGGCAGCCAUGAAGCCCUGACGAGUAGGAGGGUCGCGGCGGUGUGCGCAGAAGGGUUGGCCGUGAGGCCGCCUGGAGCCGCCGUCGGUGCAGAUCUUGGUGGUAGUAGCAAAUACUCCAGCGAGGCCCUGGAGAACUGAGGUGGAGAAGGGUUUCGUGUGAACAGUCGUUGCACACGAGUCAGUCGAUCCUAAGCCCUAGGCGAAAGCCGAAGUUGAUGUGACGUUGUCAAUCGCACGUUGAUCCGAGCCGCCCCGUAUGUUUGCGGGAAGUGCUCUCUCUGUACGAUAUUAGAACACGUCCGUCCGGGCGAAAGGGAAUCCGGUUCCUAUUCCGGAACCCGGCAGCGGAACCGUCGUAUAAACCGGGCCCUCAUUUGAGGACUCGUCGGGGUAACCCGAAAAGACCCGGAGACGCCGUAGGGAUAUCCGGGAAGAGUUUUCUUUUCUGUAUAAGCGUUCGAGAUCCAUGGAAUCCUUUAGCAGGGAGAUAUGGAUUGGAACGCGAAGAGCACCGUACUUGCGGCGGUGUCCGGAUCAUCCCAUCGGCCCUUGAAAAUCCGGGAGAGGGCCACGUGUAGGGUCGCGCCGGUUCGUACC
rnacentral:rRNA from 1 species